rnacentral:lncRNA from 1 species
GGUUGGGCAGAGGGGCCUCAUAGUCUCAGACUGUGAAUUUAUUCAUUUUGUUGAACUCCAGACAAUGUCUGUCCAGUUGAUUGGCAUCAUUUAGGUUGCAACUGGUUACUUUUUAGUUGUUAUUACCCAGCUGUCUCACUGAUCACUAAGCUGUGUUGAAUACUUGAUGCUGAUUGGUCAAAACCCCUUAGAAACAGUCAUUGACUCUGCAAAGCAAGAGCAACACCAGAGACAACCAAAUCUCACACAUGACAUUAAAAAACAAUCUGUGGCACAUUCUGCUAGUUUCUGUUUGUGUGAUAACUCUUUAGGUGAAACAGUUUGGACUUAUAGAUCCUGUCCUGGAAUCAGAAGACCAAUCAGGAGACCAAACCAUUAAUGGAAAUAAAAAAAAAGUAGUGAUGAAAUAUCCUGUUCACCUUGCCAAAUGUAGUCUUCAGUAGAAAUAUGUACUAGAAUGAUAAUUAUGCAAAUGUUUCAACCUUGAAGAAAAUUGAUAAGUGUUCAUGUUUAAUUUGAUACUUUUUAUUCUUGCAGCAAGUUGGAGGGUAAAUUGUAUAGCCAUGGUUGCACCAACUGUAAGGUUCAAAGGGACUAUUUUUUUUCAUUUAAAUAUAAUUUUUAGAUCAGUAAAAUUGUCUUCAAAUCACAAUUUAUCAUCAAUUUGUUGGUUAAUUUGGUUGGUAUUUUUGCCAAUUUUUAUUUUUAAUGUCUGUUGGUUGCUGUUAAAGAAUUACCAAUGAAAAAUCCUCAAAUCAAAAAAGCAGUGACAUCUUUAGUAACUACCUUACUUAACUAGCAUCAUUUUAUUUCAACACAAAUUAAAGGUUUUAAAGAAAUCCUUAAAGAGUUUGUUUGCUUUUGCUCUGCUGUCAAUAAUACUAAUGAAUGAUUGAACCAUAUGGCCAUUUGUCUUUCAUGACAUUUUCAUUCUUGAGUGUUGUUGUCAAAUAAAGUGUAGCAGUGAAUCUGAAGAAAAUACAGGAUACUUAUUUAUCAUGUUAAGUUUGUUGAAACAUGCUGUCAGAAGACCCUCUGAACCACUCUAUAUCACUGCUUUAUGUUUUUUAAGUCUUGAACCUUGAAUCAUGUCAAACUUGACUCUGGCAAAUAAAAAAACAUUUAUGAGAAACCUGAGAAAAGCAUUUCUUACUGGACUGAAAUCCUCUACCCUGUUGCCACAUCUGUACAAUCAACAGUGAAGGGGUCUGUGGAACUUAAUAUUGAAAAGAAAACUACUCCCAGCAGAAAACACUUAAGCUUUAGGUUGGAAGGCAGCCUGAUAAGUUAACAUGAAAAACAAAUUUUUAUAGUGAACUGUCAAGAAAAGAAGGAGAGAUUUACUUCCUAUUACUCUGCAGCAGUUGCAUAAGACUUUGGAAAUGUGGAAAAUGUUAAUGCGGGUAUUAUUGAAUUAUGGCACUUUGCUUCUACUAUUGUGAACAUAUGCUUGUUGACCCGUUCAUGCACCCUUGACAAUCAUGAAAUACUCAAACAUUUCUCACUCUCAGCCUGUGGAUGCCUUUACCUCAGCAAAGAAACGUUCCCUCUACCAAGCCAUGUGCUGUGAUUCUGUACAUUUGUAAGUUUUUACUGACUGCUACUAAAUUUCACAAUCUGGGAUAAGUUUAGUCAUCUACACACCAAAAUCAGAUCAAAACAAAACUAUUAAUCUACUUCAUCAGCUCAUACUCCAAGGAUCAGUCUCAUUGAGGACCUAAAAUAAGGACACGCAACAGCUGUUUGUAAUUGCCCUUGGUGCCUCUUUAUGUGCUUUUGUUGUUUUUGUUCACCCUGAAAAAAGGGGUGAAGAUACUGAACAUACUAAAGUGACGACAACAAAGGGAAGAUGAGAUCGUAUAGAAAAUUACAGACGCCAUACUCUUCAGAUUGCUGAUGCAGAUGUGGAUGUCAUUCUAACCCAGUGAGACAUGAACUCUGAGGGUGUGCUGGAGUAUCUGGAACUAAGAAGCUAAUAGCAGAUCCUAGAAGUUCUGUAAGUUGUUGGUUGGACCUGUUUGUCCAGAGCAUCGCACAGGUAAUCAAUCAGAGUAAGAUCUUGGGAUUGUAGAAACAAAGGCACCUCCUUGAAAUCAUUGUCAUAUCCUUUCUUCUCUUACUCUAAAUCAGAUGCUUAUGAACCCCUCAUAGGCGCUGCCCCCUGCCGACAGGUACUCACUUCACCUGUCAGUGGUCAUAAUGUUAUGUUACCACUACCUGAUUUUGUUGUUUGAAAUAUUAGAAGGCUGUUUUUUGUGUCUCUCUCUCGACCAGUACACAGUAAGGGUAUUGCUUUUUGCGUCAAUUAUUGGGUGAUUUCUUGAGAUUUAAUGGAUUUACAUGCACAUUUAUAGCAAAGAGUUCUUAACUAUGACACAAUGAAACAAGGUAUUAAAUCCACGUUUUAAAGAAAAAUAGAGAGCAAAUGGUGUCAACUGUCAGAUAGUCUCCUGUACUUCUCAGUUAUUUAUCAUUUAUUUUAGUAGUUAUGUUUGGCAGAGAGUCUGGAUUGGACUUCUAAACACUUUAAAUGUCACCCAUUAUUAAUCAUAAAUUAAAACACACAAAAAAUCCAGAAUAGGAUGGCUUACUUUCCAAAUCAGUAAACUAUACUCAAUUCAAUUCAAGAGGUUAUGGAAAUAAUACAAAUGAAGAUGAAGACAAAUAUGAAAAUUCACUAACUGAGCUAACUUCCCACUGAGCAUUUUUCGGUCUAUAAGAGGUCUAAUAGACGUCUAAAUGUAGCCUAGAUGACUGGUCUAAAAUCAGGUUACCACAGGUCUAAAAAUGAACGUUUUUUAGACAUCUAAAUAUAGACCAAGUUUAGACCAAGUGUAAGUCUAUAUUGAUACUACAAUGUAUAUUGCUCAACAACUAUCAUAGUUAUUUUGGUUAAGUACUUGGAGAUCAGUUAUGCAACUCACAGCUAUUAGUUAUUGAAUAAUGGGUUAAAGUGCAACGUCUAAAUUCCGUCCAAAAAUAUGCAGAAUCCAGACAUUUGAAAUUAGGUCUAAAAAAAUACUAGAUGUCUAAUAGCCGUCUAUUGCUCAGUGGGUUAGAAAAAAAACACCUUGGAUAUGGUAAAUCACAGCUUUUGACACUUCACCCAUGCACACAUGCGGAAUAUAUUUAUCUCUAACACAUGGGGAUACAACAACAAAUUUAUAGAUAUAUCUUAUUGGAUUGUAAAAUAUGAAUCUACUAGCUAAAAAACUCUAUGAUGUUAAAGAAGAGAUGGUGGGGUCUUACCUUGAUAUUCAAACAACAACAGUCUGCAGCAGCCAUGAUGCAACUGAUCAACCGGGAAUCCAAGACGUUGCUUGUCAAGGCAGUCUAAACCCAAUCACACAAAUCACACAUUCCCAGGCUUACAGCAGGUCAUUUUCUUGCUUUGCCUGGCUUAAGACACAAACACACAUACUCAAGCAUGCAGGCACCCACUCACACUCAUGCACUCACUCAAACAAAUGCACACACACAUGAAAAGCUUUAGCAAAGGAUCCUUGCCUCUAAUCCAGGACUCAUUGUUGCAUAUUUAUGCACAGGGGGCUGGCGAGGAAUAACGGAGCAAUACAGAAGAAUAGAUCAAGUCAUGAAAAGUCAAAACAAGCAUGGUGAAAUGUAAGGAAUGUGGAGUGUGUGUGGGCAUGAAAUGAGAUUAUUUCUGUAACAGUCUGUCUGUGUCCUGCUCUAAGUGACCUGUUUACAGCCACCUGUAACCUACUGGGCUAAAAGGCACAAUGCCAAGUACAGAAGUUCAGUCAGUCCACUAAGCCUCCAUUGUGUGUUAGUGUGUGUGUUUGUGAAGUGUGUGAUACAUGGGAAAGAGGGUUGCCUGAGGAGUUCAGCAGUAGAGGUGACGAAAUUUGAUCACAGUGUAUUUUUUUUCCCCCACUCUCUCUCACCCCGACGCAUACACACAGCAUGUCGUCCCUCCUUCUCGAUAAAGUCAGGUCUGUGUGUAUGUGCAGUGUCACUCCAAUCAGUAUCAGCUGAGGUACUGGGUUAAUCCUCAUUGCAACACACACAAAUCCUCACACACAGGCAGGGACGCACAAACACACAUAACUCAAAAGAGGGAAAGAGAGAGAAAACAAUGAAAGGACAUAAGAGUACAAGUCCAAGUGUGCAAUAAACACUCAUAAUUUGAAGUGGGCUAAUUACCCCUGUCAACUAAACAGUUGGAUAUUAAAACAAACAUGAGGACAGUAUUGGCGAUCAAAACACAUCGCAAGGAUUUAUCUCGAAAAUAUCAGGUUAUUCACAGAUAUUUAGCAACUGGAGAAAAUAAACAGUUUCAAUUGUGAUAUUGAGUUUUAUGUAAGUUUUCAUCAGCAUGUAAAGAGGCUACAGUGAACUUAGCAUAUGUUCUCAAGCAUUUAGCAAACUGUGCCAAACAUUCAAUCCCACUAUUCAUUUUGAGGGCAUUUUAGAAAAAGUGGUUUUCACUUUUUAUAUCGAUGCUUCUCUAAGACUGUACCUCAGCAAACAAUGGGGUCAACAACACCUCCUUACCGAGGAAACUGUUUCUACCCCUUCUUACUCACAGUUGCUAUGAGGGUGUUACUAAAUCAUGCUGUAAGACUCUUUGCUACAAGAUUUUAAGCCAAGUUUAGGGUUUUCUAAAAGGAUUUUCAGAAGGAUUUGUGAAUACAGGCAUGUUACACCCAGCAGAGAGGGUAUCAGAGUGUAACAUGAGAUUGACUCGUCUUGUCACAGAUUCAAACAAAAACAAAAGGGAGGACCCACGUGCAAAAGUUCAAUUAUUUUUAUUAAAUAAAAGGCUAAACAUGGAACAACAAAAACUUACUCAAACAGAAAAUGUCCAACAAAUCCAAAUCCCAAAAUCCAACAACACUAGGAGCAAAUCCCAUGAAACAAAAAGGCAAUGAGGAAAAACCACAAAGUAGGACAGAUUCAGACAAAAACAUGAACACAUCAACAGGAAUGAACCAGUCCAGAAGGAGGGCUACACAGGGACUAAAUAGAGAGGGUAACGAGCAAUGAGAGACAGGUGAGACACUAAGACACAGGUGCAGAUAAUCACUAAAGAGGGAAAACACAGGAAGUCGAACUAAAC